rnacentral:lncRNA from 1 species
GUCCCGAGACGGGCUUCCUGACCGCCUCCGCCUGCAGGGACAACGCUUCGGUCUCCGGACGCCUCUUCUUUCGGGAGUUCCCCCGGCAGAGGUGGAGGUGGUGACAGGUCCUGCCCACAGGCCCCAUCCUGAACCGGCACCGGGCCACCUUCAACAAGCACCUGUGCCUCCUGGGUCACGGCCCUCCGCGGGUCGGGCUUUUCCCGGUCACUCUCUUUUCGAGGAGACCUUUUGGGGAUCGGCUCCACAGGAGGCGGCGGCUCCUUCUCAUCAGGCCCCAGGCGAGCAACCUCUGCAGCUGUCACCUGAACCUCAGCAGGUGAGGCGUGAACAACCUCCAAAGGCCCCACGGGGGGAGGGGGAGGAGGAGGAGGCUCCAUCUCAUCAGGCCGAGCGACCUCCACCUCCGCAGGUGCCACCUGAACAAACUCUACCUCCGCCGGUACCACCUCAACAACCUUCGCAGGCUCCACGGGAGGAGGGGGAGGCUCCUUCUCCUCAGGCCCCACCUGAACAACCUCAACCUCCGCAGGUGCCACCUGAACAACCUCUACCUCUGCAGGUGCCACCUGAAUGACCUCUACCUCCGAAGGUGUCACCUGAACGACCCCCGCAGGCCCCGCAGGAGGAGGAGGAGGGGGCGCAGGGGGAGGCCCCGUGCCAGCAACCUCUACCUCAGCAGGUGUCACCUGAAUGACCUCACCAGGCCCCACAGAGGGAGGAGGGGGAGGCGGGUCUGGCAGUGCAGGCCCCACCUGAGGAGGCUCUGUCUGAGCAGGUUUCUGCUGGACAGUACCCUUCUGAGCGGCCUUGCUGCUUUUUCUAGAGGAUUUAUGUUUCAGAGUUUUCUUCUUUGUGCUCUUCUUCAUGCAAAUACUUUGCUUCUUAUUCUCGACUCUGCUGUCACCCUUUGGUGUUUCCUGGCCACUUCUGGAUUUGCUCUCUGCCUUCUUCUUCUUUUUUGGCGCAGGUUCCUCAUCCGGAACAGGCUCUUGUAUUUUUGCCUGCUCCGUUUCUGUUUUCUCGCUGGUGAUUUUGUCAUCAGGCAAGUCGGCCUCUCGCUUUUUGGUUUUCUUCAGUUUCACCUUUGAGACAUCCAUCGUUUUACUGGGGCAGGUGGGAUGCUUCGACUUGAAAUGAUACUGCAGAUUACACUUCUUGGAAGCUGCGUAGUCGCACACCGGGCAGUUGAACUGCCGUGGAUUGACAUGCAGCUCGACGUGCUUCUUGAAGUUACUUCUGUCUGCUGUCUUGUAGUCACAGUGCGGGCAGCUCAGCGGUUUAGGCCCGUUGUGCACCUGUCUCGCGUGGCGGGUUACUUCGUGUUGAUUAGAGGCCACGUAACUGCACUGGUCGCACUUAAAUGGCUUCUCACCUGAGGGUAAACAAGAGAUGUUACCGGAGACAUACACCAGGAAGUGAAUUAAGACUUAUUCAAAUCACCUGACAAGGAAUUGGAUACAUAGGAAAGCAAACAAAAACAAAAAACCACAAAAACUAUUUCUCGAAGACUUCAUCAUGCAACUCACAUUUACCAUAUUUAUUUGUAUAUCUUUUCUCUUCCCCUUGACACUGACUCUCAUACCAAAUGGAAGGAUAAUUUUCUCAGUUCAUCAUCAUCUCCUAAAACGGGUACCAAGCUAAGGCUUUCCAGCACUAUUAGAGAACACAGAUUUGUCAAUUACCAGCAAAGUGACCUGGGCUCUCAAGGCUAAUUUAGGGGCUUGGUCACCCAAAGAGAGAAGAUAAUUUCACAUUUUUUAUAUUUAGUUAAAACAAAUGUAUAAGGGAGUAGAAUAUAAAAUUCCCGUACAUUUAAGAUAAGUCUUGAGACUUCAAAAUAACUAUCUCACACUCUAAGCUACCGCUCCCAGAGUUUGAAAACAAUGCUUUGGCCUCUGGGAGUAAAAGGCUUUUCCUCUCAACUUAACCCUUUGAGCAUCAGAGCAGGAACUGGGUCAAGUUUCAAUCAGCAAACAUUCCCAGUGCCCAGGGGUGCUACUUCGCAGCAAACAUAGAGCCCGAGUCUUGAUUCUCUCCCUCCUUCUUCUAGAGAAUGGGCAAAGAUACCAGCUGAGUGAAAAGAGGCAA